rnacentral:lncRNA from 1 species
UGCCCUUGGGUGUGGUUAAAUAUUAAUAUCAGAAGUUUCACAUAUGUCUUAUUCUCUUUCAUAACUUUCCCCCUUCUUCUUUUCCAGGAUAACACAUACCGUGCUGGCCACUUUCAAAUGUCACUUCUGCAAGAAGCCUUCCUUGAUCCCCCACAUAAUUUCACUGUAAAAUCCCAUACAUUCUUUGGAGUUCAGCACUACUUUUGUAAUACUACUUACUACCUGUUCUACUACUAACAACCACAACCACAAUUGCUUACAGAGAAAUUACUUUGUGCCAGGAAAUAUUUCACCAUCAAAAGAACACUCUGAGCAGACUGUCUCCUUUUCUGGUUUGAUGAAACAAGCAGCCAUGGUUCAUGUGGCAAGGGCCACAGCCCAACAUCCCUGGAGGAAAUCAAUUUCACAAACAACCACUGAGUUUGGAGGUAGAUCCUUCCCCCAUGGAAUCUAGACUGUGAGAGAACCUGAAGCAGAGGACCCAUUUCAGCCAGCCCGGAUUCCCAACCCACAGAAACUGAGGUAAUAAAUGUGUGUCACUUUAAGCCACUGAGUUUUAGAAUAAUUUGUUAUGCAGCAGUAGAUAACUAAUCCAGAUGGUGUCAAACAGAAAGUAGGUGGAUGGUAAGGGUAGGUGGUAUUUUAGAAAGAGUUCUGGGAGUGGGG